rnacentral:rRNA from 1 species
UUGAACGCUGGCGGCCUGCUUUACACAUGCCAGUCGCACGGCAGCGCGGGCUUCGGCCUGGCGGCGAGUGGCGAAUGGGUGAGUAAUGCAUCGGAACGUGCCCAGUAGUGGGGGAUAGCCCGGCGAAAGCCGGAUUAAUACCGCAUACGACCUGAGGGUGAAAGCGGGGGACCGAAAGGCCUCGCGCUAUUGGAGCGGCCGAUGUCGGAUUAGCUAGUUGGUGGGGUAAAGGCUUACCAAGGCGACGAUCCGUAGCUGGUCUGAGAGGACGACCAGCCACACUGGGACUGAGACACGGCCCAGACUCCUACGGGAGGCAGCAGUGGGGAAUUUUGGACAAUGGGGGCAACCCUGAUCCAGCCAUGCCGCGUGCGGGAAGAAGGCCUUCGGGUUGUAAACCGCUUUUGUUCGGGAAGAAAUCCUCUGGGCUAAUACCCCGGGGGGAUGACGGUACCGGAAGAAUAAGCACCGGCUAACUACGUG